UUUUCUUGACGAUCGAUCGAAACGACAAAUUGUCCCGUGUAUGGGCACCCUAAUACCAGCCUAAGGAUUUUGCUUGUAUAAGACUGUAUUCCGUUUGGAAGUAAGUUUGUGUGAUUCUGGUUACUAUUAGGUCAUAGUUUUCUCAUUUUGGAUCGAAUUUUAUUAUAAUCUUGAGCGAUGCUGUCAAUACAUUUUUAGUAAUAUUUUAAUUUAUUACCU